UACGUAGGGUGCAAGCGUUGUCCGGAAUUAUUGGGCGUAAAGAGCUCGUAGGCGGUCUGUCGCGUCUGCUGUGAAAACUCAGGGCUUAACCCUGAGCUUGCAGUGGGUACGGGGCAGACUAGAGUGCGGGUAGGGGAGACUGGAAUUCCUGGUGUAGCGGUGAAAUGCGCAGAUAUCAGGAGGGAACACCCGGUGGGCGAAAGGCGG
rnacentral:rRNA from 1 species